rnacentral:rRNA from 1 species
GAGUUUGAUCAUGGCUCAGAUUGAACGCUGGCGGCAUGCCUUACACAUGCAAGUCGAACGGCAGCACGGGAGCUUGCUCCUGGGUGGCGAGUGGCGAACGGGUGAAUAAUGCAUCGGAACGUAUCCUGGAGUGGGGGAUAACGUAGCGAAAGUUACGCUAAUACCGCAUAUUCUGUGAGCAGGAAAGCGGGGGACCUUCGGGCCUCGCGCUCUUGGAGCGGCCGAUGUCGGAUUAGCUAGUUGGUGAGGUAAAGGCUCACCAAGGCGACGAUCCGUAGCAGGUCUGAGAGGAUGAUCUGCCACACUGGAACUGAGACACGGUCCAGACUCCGUACGGAGGCAGCAGUGGGAAUUUGGACAAUGGGGGCAACCCUGAUCCAGCCAUGCCGCGUGAGUGAAGAAGGCC